CCGCCAUUAGCUCAUCAGGAAAGAGCGCCAGCCUUCGAAGCUGGUUGCGCGGAGUUCGGGUCCCCGAAGGCGGUCCA
rnacentral:tRNA from 37 species